rnacentral:rRNA from 1 species
CCCUUAGAUGCUCUGGGCCGCACGCGCGCUACACUGGUCGAUGCAACGAGUUUCUUUCCUUGGCCGACAGGCCUGGGCAAUCUUUGAACAUCGAUCGUGAUUGGGAUAGAUUCUUGUAAUUUUUGAUCUUAAACGAGGAAUUCCUAGUAAACGCAAGUCAUCAGCUUGCAUUGAUUACGUCCCUGCCCUUUGUACACACCGCCCGUCGCACCUACCGAUUGAAUGGUCCGGUGAAAUCUCCGGACUGGCGUGAGUCGGAGCAAUCUGACAAACACCGGAAAGUUGAUUAAACCUUACCAUUUAGAGGAAGGUGAAGUCGUAACA